UUCUAUGUAAUUCCUCCCUGUGUAUGUGAAUUGACUAUUAUGCCCUUAGAGGCAAGUGACGUGGACGUGCUUAUAUUGCUUUUAUUUUAUUCCUCACUAUCGCUUUUAAAUUGUACACGUUGUUGGAUGAGUACGAGAAUUUUUAUCAGUGUGAAAACACUAUUUCGGAUAGAUUUUCGAUUCUCUUUUCUGUACAAAAUCUAAACCCUAUCCUUGGUUUUCUUUAAAGCCAACCCGUGCACUCCCCAUUAUUUCACUCCCUCACCAAUCAACUCCCUCAAAUCUCUCAACAAUCCCAUCCAUUCCCUCAUCACGGCACCCGAUCAGAAAAAGCAAAAGAAAAAGCUCUCUCUCUCCCGUAUACUCUCUUACCAUAAACAGACCUCAAAGCUUGCAGAUCGAACCUAAAAACCACUUCCUUGUGCUAAUGUCACCUCCACGAGCACAACCAUACCUUUAAAACUCAGUUUGGACGAGUUUUGUACGUCGAACUCAUGAGGUCCGACUCGGUUUGAUUUUUGUCCAACAAGUUAUGAGCGAGUUACAAGUUUUUAGGAACUUUGAAGGCCUCUAUUCAACUCCCCGAGGUCCUUAGUGAAGUUUAGGUGAAGAAACAACGUUGAAACAACCGAGUUUCGAGGAGUUCACUUUUGGUUGGAACUUUUGAGGUGAUUACUGACCACCUCCGUCCACUUUUUGGACUCCAAAAAGAAACCGGCGAGAUUCGAGUUACAAAUGGCGGUGCCGGAGGCGGAGGAUAGCGGUGGACAACGGAACUUGCCGGAGAAGACAGGGAAUAUUCCGUCAAAGUUGACGGAAUAUUCUAACGGCGUUAGGUAACACCGUUAAUCUCUGUUAAGGUUUUAACGGAAUAUUCCUAACGGUGUCAGUCACAUUAACAGCACGUGGGGAUGCAUCUGGCCGUGCCUUGGCAGGCGCGUGAGGGCAUGUGCAGGGUCCAAAAAUUUAUAUAAAAAUUUGUGCAGCGGAAACAUAUUCCGAAGACGUACGGGGCUAGGAUAGACUCGGGGGCUACGACCCUGCAACGGACUUGACCUAGAUAGCUACUCUUUAUGGCAUUCGAGGAAUCUCGGCAGUUCUGACAUUCUCUUUGGUUUAGAAGUAUAAACUUAUCCAUUGUUGUGUAAUAAGUGUACUUUAGCUGCUUUGAACUACUCUUCGGUAGUCGUACUGUCUAUUAUGCUCUGAAUAAUUAUAGUGGAUUAUUCCCACAAAUGCGCACUCUUUCACUAUUUAGUAUAAU